UUCUUUUUAUUAGAUGAUCUCUUUGUGUUAAAAAAUAGUCACAAAUUACGCCUGUCUGUGGAGUAGAAAUGUAAUUCUGGAACUCUUCUAGGGAAUCAAAGGAAAGAACAUGAAGUGAUUUUUACCUAACUGGUGAGAUGGCGCUUUGCAGCACACAGGAUGGGAUGGCGACCAUGCUAGAAUCCCAGAAAAAGAAACUGCUAGGUCCUUGAAGGUGAGGGAAGUCACAAGGAGGAAGGAACCCAAGGAAACGACCCUAUAAAGCUGUGGGUGAAGUCUUGGGCCCAACCUGGAGCCACAGAUGCCUAGAACUGACCUGCAACCACAUGAAUGAGAAAUGAACCGGGAAGCAGGCUGGGCCGUGAAGGGAGCACACAGGGAGCCGUGAACAUCACUGCAAAGCCUUUAAAACUGGACGGACAAUGGAACCACAGAAGGUACAAAAACAAAAUUAGUGCAGAGAAGCAAAGCGGAAGAAGAAACAAAGUGGUCGAUAGCUGGAUGCCAUUAAAAUAUAAGCAUCGUUUCUUGAGAGAGAAGCCAGAGGCUUGGCGUCUUUACCAGAAAUUUCCUCAACCACACCUGAAGGCAAAUGUCUGUGCCAAACCAAUGUUGUGGCAAAAUUAGGAAAUAGCCGGCAAUUAAAUGUCAGGUUCAAUGUUGAGGUCUAACUGGUUACAGGUCCAGGAGCAAAAAAAAUGUAAGAAAUGGCAAGGAGUCUGGCAUUAAUCCACAUAAACAAGUUUCCACUUAAAAAAACUAUAUUUCAAGUAGUUACAUUAUUCAGGGUCCAGUCCAGAGACAGAAAACACACUGGUAAUUUAAAGAUGGGAAUUUUAAUAUAAAGAAUUAUUAACUGAUAACAUUUUUCAUCAGUAGCAUGCAUGCUAGCAACUAGAGACACUAGGGUACUCCAGCUAGUCCUCCAAUGUUCCUGUAGGAGGCUUCCUGCCCCGGAGAAAAGGAACAAAAGAGAAUGCUUAGGAUUUAGAGAGAGGAUGCGUGACCAAAAGCAGAAACUUGGAAGGGAGCCUCCCCACCGAGGCUGAGUUUCAGGCCUCCCAGACAUGGAUGUGGCCCACAGGAUGGCACAGAACUUGGCCAAGGAAGUUGCCCUUGGCUAGACCUGGCCCAGGGGCUGUGAGCAGAGCUUAGCUUAGAGAGCAAGAAAGCAAGAGCAUACACUGUCCAGCGUGAGGACAGGGCAGAGAAGAAGAACGUGGAAUGGUCUGAGACACUGGAAGCCUUUUGUCUGAUUGGCUGAGGAUUUGCUGACAGUAGACACCUCUGAGAGAGUGUCCCUUACACGGGCCAACCACCAAAGAGACAUGAUCCUGGGUCCAGCUCCACCGUCACAAAGCAGAGCAAUGCAAGGUGGACUUGGAGUACAGUGACAAAAAACUGGUAACAGCUCAGUAGCAGUAGCUACUAUUAUUAACACUCACGUAGGGUCAGAUACAUGAGCUCAUUCAAUUUUUACAGCAGCCUGAUGAUUUAGGAGCUAUGAUGCCUCCCAGCCAAAGAGGAACACACCUAGAAUAAAAAAAUGCAGGAUUUACUCUUGCAGAAAAGGAGGACACGUAUCAUAAGAAACUAAAGCUUCUCACAAGAGGGGAGUGUCAUCAAAGGUUUUGGGUAUAAGAACUAAUCUCAAGACGGUCUUGGUAGUUAUGGUCAGAAUUUAUAAAUCAGGCUAAUCUCUAGAACAGUCACUGGGCUUAUUUUCAGAACACAAAUCCCGGCGAGUUAUUAUUAGAUCUCUUUGGCUGUGUACGGUCUAUCCGAGCCAUAUGGGUGUGAAUAAGUUGUUUUUUGAAAGAAUUUCAGCAUCUUCCCUGGCUGGGGUUAGUGUGGUGCAGCUGAUUUGUUGGGCAGGUCAUGUGCAGUAUUCCAAGCUGUGAUUUCUUUCAAUUUUCACUUUGUCCCAUGACCCCAUCACAAGUCCUUUAUUAGAAAGGCUUGUUCCAAUCUUAGAAUGUUAGCGCUGGAAGCACCUUGGAAAUAGCUUAGUCUAACCCAAAAGUUCAUGACCAUUGCUUCCUAUAUCACACUACACAGUCUUCCCCCAUUAAAUUCAGAAAACUAAAGAAAUGACCGGGACUGGGGAAUGACAUUCUAGGUUUUGAGAAUCAAAUACAUUUGAUGAUUUACAUUUAGAGACAAAAUUAGCUACAAAUGUGCAAAUUUUCCAUUCCCUUUAUUAGCAUAUUAUUCUUUUUCUUGUUUAAAUAGUGAGUUUAAAAAAUCACUCCUGGUUGGGAACAGAAGCUCAUGCCUAUAAUUCUAGUUCUAGAAUCCCCCAGGGUGGACGUUUAUGGCCAGGAAUUUGAGACCAA